rnacentral:rRNA from 2 species
UACGUAGGGGGCUAGCGUUGUCCGGAUUUAUUGGGCGUAAAGAGCGUGUAGGCGGCCAAGUAGGUCCGUUGUGAAAACUGGAGGCUUAACCUCCAGCUGUCGAUGGAAACCAUUUGGCUAGAGUCCGGAAGAGGAGAGUGGAAUUCCUGGUGUAGCGGUGAAAUGCGCAGAUAUCAGGAAGAACACCCGUGGCGAAGGCGGCUCUCUGGGACGGUACUGACGCUGAGACGCGAAAGCGUGGGGAGCGAACAGG